ACGGAGGGUGCAAGCGUUGUCCGGAUUUAUUGGGUUUAAAGGGUGCGUAGGCGGGCCUAUAAGUCAGUGGUGAAAUACUUCAGCUUAACUGGAGAGGUGCCAUAGAUACUGUAGGCCUUGAGUGAAAUUGAAGUAGGCGGAAUUGAUGGUGUAGCGGUGAAAUGCAUAGAUAUCAUCAAGAACACCGAUAGCGAAGGCAGCUUACUUAGUUUCAACUGACGCUGAGGCACGAAAGCGUGGGGAGCGAACAGG
rnacentral:rRNA from 1 species